AAGAUGAAAAGAACUUUGAAAAGAGAGUUAAACAGUACGUGAAAUUGUUGAAAGGGAAACGAUUGAAGUCAGUCAUACCAACGGGAAAUCAACCUUUUGAGCUCGGUCUCGUGGGUUUUGAAGAGUUUCAAAGCCUUCGGAUUCGCGGGAUUGGGAUCUCUUGGCGUACUUUUUCGUACGGUUAGUCAACAUCGGUUUUGAAUGUCAUAAAAUGACUGGAGGAAUGAGGCUUCGAUGACGCACUGCAGUGUUUUAGCCUUAGGAGAAAUUUCCCUCCACACAGGGACCCCAAACACAGCUUUAA
rnacentral:rRNA from 1 species